rnacentral:rRNA from 1 species
CCUACGGGAGGCAGCAGUAAGGAAUAUUGGUCAAUGGAGGCAACUCUGAUCCAGCCAUCCCGCGUGCAGGAAGACGGCCCUAUGGAUUGUAAACUGCUUUUAUGACGGAAUAACAGACUYCUCUACKURUWCGGGUUUGMCUGUAYSYMAUGAAUAAGCAUCGGCUAACUCCGUGCCAGCAGCCGCGGUAAU